rnacentral:rRNA from 1 species
CAGUCGCCGCGGUAAUACGUAGGUCCCGAGCGUUGUCCGGAUUUAUUGGGCGUAAAGCGAGCGCAGGCGGUUUGAUAAGUCUGAAGUUAAAGGCUGUGGCUCAACCAUAGUUCGCUUUGGAAACUGUCAAACUUGAGUGCAGAAGGGGAGAGUGGAAUUCCAUGUGUAGCGGUGAAAUGCGUAGAUAUAUGGAGGAACACCAGUGGCGAAGGCGACUCUCUGGUCUGUAACUGACGCUGAGGAGCGAAAGCGUGGGGAGCGAACAGGAUUAGAUACCCCAGUAGUCCCUGUCUCUUAUACA